AAGCUACACACCGGGGGGGGAAAAAAUUGU
rnacentral:rRNA from 1 species